rnacentral:rRNA from 1 species
GGGGAAUAUUGCGCAAUGGGGGAAACCCUGACGCAGCAACGCCGCGUGAAUGAAGAAGGCCUUAGGGUUGUAAAGUUCUGUCAUAUGGGAAGAUAAUGACGGUACCAUAUGAGGAAGCCACGGCUAACUACGUGCCAGCAGCCGCGGUAAUACGUAGGUGGCAAGCGUUGUCCGGAUUUACUGGGCGUAAAGGAUGCGUAGGCGGACAUUUAAGUCAGAUGUGAAAUACCCGGGCUCAACUUGGGUGCUGCAUUUGAAACUGGGUGUCUAGAGUGCAGGAGAGGAAAGCGGAAUUCCUAGUGUAGCGGUGAAAUGCGUAGAGAUUAGGAAGAACACCAGUGGCGAAGGCGGCUUUCUGGACUGUAACUGACGCUGAGGCAUGAAAGCGUGGGGAGCAAAC